CAAUCCUCAAAUUUUAAUUAUAGUAAUGGCUUAUUCUUUCCCAUUUUAUACUGCAUUAAACUGCUGAAAAGAUGAAGUAAUUAGUAUUUUAAAUUUUUCUCCAUACUUUGAUAUUCUACUUAAAAUGGCAAAAUAUAUUCCUUGCCAUGCUAUGUGAAAGUUCUGAGAGCAUUAAAAUGGCUAAAAUGGUAGACAGCAAGAGAGAAGAGAAAUAAAAAUAAGCAUACACAAAUUGGAUAAGCAGCUCUAGAAUAAAUUGAAAGUUGAUGUAAGCUCAGGAAUAGUAGUGCUAUUUUUCCCAUGGCAAUUUACCAAAAUUCAUGUGCAUUUCGUGAUAAAAAAUGUUCACCAAAUCACCCCUAGGUGUAAAUCUUCUGACUUCUGAAAUUCAAGUCUCCAAGGAAAACUCAGAAGUCACAUUAAACCAAUUGCUCAAGGCUGGUCAGCGUUUCCCACUGUCUGGAUGGAAAGAAGAAUCCAUUUGGCUGGGGGUCAGAAAGGAGUCAGGCUGAUGAUGGAGGAUUGCGGAGGUACCAUCUCAAAUCGUUCCAAUUCAGUCUUGCGAGUUUGUGUUUUCCCUGACAUCACCCUAAUGUGCAGAAACGUGAGAGAUUUCUUUUCUCUCACGCGUAGGCAAAUAUCUUCAGACUCUUAAGUGCAUCUAUUACACAGUGCCUCCUCUGUGUCCUUUCAUCCUGCUCCCCGUUCAAUACCGUAUUAAGGAACUGAAACUCUAAGGUAGCAUAUCAGGACAGAAGUGGAGAAGGCACUGGAAAGGUUACCAUUGCCUGCGUGUGAGGCAAAUACUCCUCCCAGGAGAAUUCAUCAUAAAUGGUGCUGCCUUCUUGCUGAUGGAUUGAUUUGCUCGGCAGAAUGGAUGGAAGAUGACAGAGAAACACUUGGAAACAGAUGGAGUGAUGGGGAGCAAGAUGAAUAGUCAUUUCACCAAAAUUUGGACCCCAUUUUUAGGAUGAUGACUCCAGGACUUCAGAAGAGUGGUUGAAAUUAAGACAAGAAUCUUUGCAUUGUUCUCUUGAACUCUUUAUGUGAUUUCUUUUGAGUAAAGUAUAAAAAUGUGACAACUGAAAAUAUUGAGAGGACUUUUAUCAAGAACACAUUAACUGUAGAGAGGUUUUUUUCCCCUCUUUAAAAACUCUUUUACCAUCAGAAUGGAUGUGCAGUCCCCUCUGAACUAUAAAAUAAGGGAAAGAGGAAGCCCUCAUUCCUGUGGAGAUAAUUGGAGUUGAAACAUUUCAUAUGCUCUAGAGUAGAAAAUGCAGGAACUGUAUCGUACGCAAAGAACAAAGGAAGACAUGCAGCGUGUCAACCUCUCUAUAUUGGCUUUGAGCCCAGCCUACGAGCUGAAAUUAAGCUUUGCCAUAGCAACAUUAAGGAUGAAGAACUCUUUAGGCUAAAAGCACUUUUGUCAGAGAAAAUCUGGGAUGAUCUGGAGUGGAAAGGGGUGUGUAGGGGUUGGAAGAAAUGCAUUUUAACAGAUAGCAUUCUCAAAAGCAAAUUCAGACUACUUCUAAUCCCCGGCUAGAUCUGGUGACAAAUGCACCUUUAAUCCCAUGUACGAAGUCUGUCAUACUGGUCUUUUAAACUCUUCUGGUAUGUUGAUGUGGUGUCCCCAAGGUUCUCCCUUUGUGUAGGCAAACAGUUCCAUCCAUGAGCUCCAAUUCUCCUCAGAUAUAAAUUCUCUUGGAAGGGAGAAUUAUUUGACCUUGUCUAUUACUAUGCUACUGAUUGAUGUCAGUACCUUGUUUAAGGCUCAGCCUGUGACCAAAUCCAGCCCACCACCUUUUUCACAAAAUAAAGUUUUAUUGGAACUCA
rnacentral:lncRNA from 1 species